rnacentral:lncRNA from 12 species
CAAAACCAUCAACAAGGAAAAAAUUUUAAAAAGCAACAGAUAAGUACUAGGAGAUCAUGAAAACCAGCCCAUCGCAGUCUGCGCCGCACCCACGCCCCGGCAGCGCGUGGUCCGGGAGGCCCCGCCAGCGAGGCACCCAUCCCGGGCGAGGGAGGAGGCCGCCGCGUGCAGCCCGCGACCGUGGCCCCUGCUGCUCGGGGUCCCUGCCCGCGGCCCGCACCUUCCUCAGCGCAGACAUCCUCGGGUGCUCGGAGUUCAGCAGGCGCAGGGCGACAGGGCACACGGCCCGUCCAUCCGCAGGGCUGGCCGUCAGUCCGGGGGACCGCGCUCGAGCGCAGUGCACGCUGGGAGCACCCCGCCGGCGCCUGCGCACUGGUCGACCGGGAGGCCCCGCACGCUGGGGGCCGGCCUGAGUGCGGAGGCACCUGGGGAGGGGCCACACCCGCACCGGGGAGCCCAGGCAGCACCGCGCCCUGCCGUCCGGGGGUCCUUCCGCCCCACCGCUCCCCCGCCGCCGCCGCCGCCGCCGCCGCCACGCGCCCCACCGCGCUCCAGCCCGGCACACGCUCGGAGCCCGCCGCCGGCGCCUGCGCACUGGGCGCCCAGGAGGCCUGGCGCGCUGGGGGCCGGCCGGCGCGCGGAGGCACGUGGGGAAGGGCCAGGCAAGUGCGGGGAGCCCAGGCAGCGCCGCGCCCCGUCGUCCGGGGUUCCUUCCGCCCCACCGCUCCCCCGCCCCUGCCGGCGCGCAGGCCCCGCCCCGGAUGCCACCUGUGGCGCGGGUCCCCUGGCGCUGGAGGCGGCGGUAGCCUGCAGCAAGUGCAGCUCGCCCGCAGCCCCACGGUCCCAGCGCCGCCUGUGCGGCCGGUGCCAGGGCGACACGAAGGUAGCGCGCGUUCCCCCAGGGGCGGUGCCCCGCAUCCGGAGGACAGACCCGGCAUUAGCUGCCUCGUGCGACGUGGACGGAGGCUCUCGAGCUGUCCAGGGACCGUCUGUCCGCCGCUGGCGCUGCCCUAAACACGAGCCGCUUCCGCCUGGGCCCCUGGGCCCUCGCGGCUGCCCCGCGGGAGCCGGACGCCGCCCCCUCCUCAGGCCCCGCAGCUCCUGCAGCCCGCCCGUCUCCGGCACAGCCCGCGCGGCCCCCACGCCCCGGGAGUGCAGGGUCCGGGAAGCACCGCCGGCGAGGCACCCAGGCGCCGCGAGGGACGAGGCCGCCGCGCAGCCCGCGACCGGUCGCCCCGGCAGCUCGGCCCCCGCGGCUCGCACCUUCCUCAGCGCUGACAUCCUCGGGCGCUCGCGGUUCAGCAGGCGCAGGGCGACAUGCUUUGUGGCCCGUCUGUCCGCAGGGUCGGCUGGCCGUCAGUCCGGGGGACCGCGCUCGAGCCCAGUGCACGCUGGGAGCCCCUCGCUGGCGCCUGCGCACUGGGGCCUCACGGGGUAAACAACCCCCACUGAGCCCUGCACCAGGCAGGGGGUUGAGCAGCUCCCCCAAGUGCUAACAACUGAAAAUCAGCACGAUAGACCCUCCCCCAGAAGACCAGCGAGAAGGACAGGGGAAAAACAAGUUAUUGACCAAGCAGCACUGGAAAGUUCCAGGGUAAGACAAGGGACUUGCAGGAUACAGAAUCAGACGAUAUUCCCCCUUGUUUUGUUGUUGUUGUUGUUGUUGUUGUUAUUUUUUAUUUCUGUUUGCUUCCCCCACCCCUUUUUUCCUUUCUUUUUUUCUUUUUCUUCUCUUUUUCUUCCUUUUUUCUUUCUUCAUUUUUUUCUUUUCUUUCCGUCUUUCUCUCCUCUCUUUUUCUCCUUUUCCCAAUACAACAUGUUUUUGGGCACUCUGCACUGAGCAAAAUGACUAGAAGGAAAACCUCACCUCAAAAGAAAGAAUCAGAAACAUCGUCUCUCCCAUAGAGUUACAAAAUCUGGAUUACAAUUCAAUGUCAGAAAGCCAAUUCAGAAGCAUUAUUAUAAAGCUACUGGUGGCUCUAGAAAAAAGCAAAAAGGACUCAAGAGACUUCAUGACUGCAGAAUUUAGAGCUAAUCAGGCAGAAAUUAAAAAUCAAUUGAAUGAGACACAAUCCAAACUAGAAGUUCUAAUGAUGAGGGUUAACAAGGUAGAAGAACGAGUGAGUGACAUAGAAGACAAGUUGAUGGCAAAGAGGGAAAUGAGGAAAAAAGAGACAAACAAGUAAAGGACCAUGAGGAUAGAUUAAGGGAAAUAAAUGACAGCCUGAGGAAGAAAAACCUACGUUU